CUCAACACGGAGCCUUGUCUAGUUUUUGGGGGGAUUCACUGUAUGCUGUUAGAGACGGAUUGCCAGGAGUGUAAGCUGAUUGUCUGCUUUUCCUGUUCGUCUGCUAGCAGCUAUUUGGGAGGUUCCAGUUCGGGAGUUGGAGUGCUAUUUUGUAUCCAGUCCGGGAGUUUGGUGUUCUGCAGUAGCUGUGCCUGUAUCUCUGGAAAGGGG